rnacentral:rRNA from 1 species
UGAGGAAUAUUGGUCAAUGGGCGCAAGCCUGAACCAGCCAUCCCGCGUGCAGGAAGAAGGCCCUAUGGGUUGUAAACUGCUUUUCCAGGGGGAGAAUUUUUCUGUCGGGACAGGAAUUGACGGUACCCUGGGAAUAAGCAACGGCUAACUCCGUGCCAGCAGCCGCGGUAAUACGGAGGAUGCGAGCGUUAUCCGGAUUUAUUGGGUUUAAAGGGUGCGUAGGCGUAUAAUUAAGGCAGUGGUGAAAACCUGCAGCUUAACGGUAGACUUGCCGUUGAUAAUGGUAGUCUUGAGUAUUGUCAAGGUAGGCGGAAUGUGUAAUGUAGCGGUGAAAUGCUUAGAUAUUACACAGAACACCGAUUGCGAAGGCAGCUUACUGGGCCAUUACUGACGCUGAUGCACGAAAGCGUGGGGAUCGAACA